UUAACGCGAAGAAACUUACCAACGUUUGACAUCCCUAUCGCGGAUCGUGGAGACACUUUCCUUCAGUUCGGCUGGAUAGGUGACAGGUGCUGCAUGGCUGUCGUCAGCUCGUGUCGUGAGAUGUUGGGUUAAGUCCCGCAACGAGCGCAACCCUCGCCUUUAGUUGCCAGCAUUUAGUUGGGUACUCUAAAGGAACCGCCGGUGAUAAGCCGGAGGAAGGUGGGGAUGACGUCAAGUCCUCAUGGCCCUUACGCGUUGGGCUACACACGUGCUACAAUGGCGACUACAGUGGGCAGCCACCUCGCGAGAGGGAGCUAAUCUCCAAAAGUCGUCUCAGUUCGGAUCGUUCUCUGCAACUCGAGAGCGUGAAGGCGGAAUCGGUAGUAAUCGCGGAUCAGCAUGUACGCGGGAAUACGAACCGU
rnacentral:rRNA from 1 species